CACGGAUGUCGGAGGAAUAAUGGGAUAAACUUACAGUAUUCUUAAAUACUAAGUGACAGUUACUAAUUUCUAGCAGUUAAAAUGCAAGUUCACUAACGAAGAUGUAUGGUCUGGUAUAGAAAACAGAGGAACCAACACAACACCAACAUGCAGGAAAUGAAAGACCCUCAGAUCGAGGAGUCUUCACAAAUCGAAUGGUCCCCCCCAAAACACUCAAUGUCCAGUCCAGCUGAAGUAAAAACAAGAGGUAAGUUUAUUGUGGGACGUUUGCGCAAACGGGCCUCCCAGUCCGACAGAAAAAGGAAGCCCUGUUCCUCAAAAGCAGGCUUCUUUUAUAGGAGAAAACCAUAGGCUUUUAGGGGUUUGGGUACGUGACCAGAGUCACAUGUCCUUUGGAGGUCUCUUAUCUUUGGGGCUGGAUGGUCUCCUGACUCAGUGGGAUAGUCUGUUCUUAUCUUCAUGAACCCAGAGCAGGGUGGCCCUCUGAGAGUGCUUGGUAUUUAGUUAGGUUGUCUUGUGGCCUUGUAAGAGAGUUAUUGCUGCCAGGUAGGAAAUUCCAG
rnacentral:lncRNA from 1 species